GCCUUUAUUUUGCUCCUGGAUUACGUUUUCAUUCUAGUGGGUCUAUAAUUUACUGACACGUUCCUUUCUCAUACUGGAUUUAAAAAAAAAAUCUUCAUUUGAAAUCAAAUCGAACGAUAGUUCCCUUUUAAAUCAAAUCCAUCUUUUGACUUCCCAAGAAUUAUGCUUUGAGCGUUCCCAUUGAAGUUGAACCCAAAUAUCUAUACUGAAUGCAUUAUAUACAGCAAUAAGAAUGUACAUACAAGCUUUAUUUUUUUUUUUAUCACGGUGAAAGAUUUAUUUUUAAAACUGAAUUAUUAUUUGUUAUAAGCUUCUACAAACAUUUGGUUCGGCAACUCUCAAAUAGGAAAAUAAAACUACAUAUCUGUAUAAUAUUAUUCUACUCAUGUUACAUUAUACAAAACUGCACCUUGAAAAUAAUAUGUAACAAGUAACUGGUUAUUAUGUCUAUCAUAGAUCAAACCAUUUGGAAUUCGAUACCAUCUUUGGAAGACAACAGUUGUUUGUGUUGUUGUGCCGUCUGGAGAUAUGACAACAACAUUGUGAGA
rnacentral:lncRNA from 1 species